GAUGAACGCUGGCGGCGUGCUUAACACAUGCAAGUCGAGCGAGAAGUGAAGACGGAAACCUUCGGGCGGAAGGCUUUAUUUCGAGUGGCGGACGGGUGAGUAACGCGUGGGUAACCUGCCUCAUACAGGGGGAUAACAGUUGGAAACGACUGUUAAUACCGCAUAAGACCACAGCACCGCAUGGUGCGGGGGUAAAAACUCCGGUGGUAUGAGAUGGACCCGCGUUCGAUUAGCCAGUUGGCGGGGUAACGGCCCACCAAAGCGACGAUCGAUAGCCGAUCUGAGAGGAUGACCGGCCACAUUGGGACUGAGACACGGCCCAAACUCCUACGGGAGGCAGCAGUGGGGAAUAUUGCACAAUGGGGGAAACCCUGAUGCAGCGACGCCGCGUGAGUGAAGAAGUAUUUCGGUAUGUAAAGCUCUAUCAGCAGGGAAGAAAAUGACGGUACCUGAGUAAGAAGCCCCGGCUAACUACGUG
rnacentral:rRNA from 1 species